rnacentral:lncRNA from 1 species
AGCAGCAUUGUGGUGGUUUGCAUGAUGAGCACCAGCGACUGUACUGCCAGGCAGGAGGAAGCUGGGGAGAGAUGGUUAAUGUGCUGCUAUGGCCAUCGAGCCAGGGGUUUGUACCCUGUGCGUCCUACUCCACUGCUGGUUUGUGCCCCUCUGCUUCCCAGCUCAUCACCUUGCAGCAUUGGCCACGGCCCUCAGCUGAUCUCCAAGAGCAAGGAUGUUGUCUUGGUGUGAUCUGAAGACACUCUGGAGCUGGAAACACACCAGGAGAAGUUUCUGUUCAUCAUCUUUUUUGCUGUUAAUAAUGUAACUCUAAAUCCAUCUCGGGAAAUCCUUUUUAAUACAGCUGUAGAGACAGGGAAGAGUUAAUUGCGUUCCUCUGCUCUGCUCUGUGUACAUUAUAGGCCAUGAGAGAAAGGGUUUGAAGCCUUUUAGCUGGGAUUUCAAAGCCAGAGAGUAGAACAGCACGUUUAUAGCUGGUUAAUAUAUCUCAGUUCUCAUCAGCAUUUAGUAACCCCCUACCCUGUCUUUACUGCUUUGUUGUUGUUUAUUUUAUUUUAUUUUUUUAAUGCAAACUUAUCUAACAGUAUGUAUUUCAUUAAAAAACAAAACAAAACAAAACAAUACACAUCAGAGCUUGCAUCCUAACACCUUUUAGCAGGAAAGGAAUGAUGUCAAGAAACAGAUUAAGAAAAAGGAACCAGAAAGGAUUUUUGGAAGAGGAAGACUGGAACCUCCUCUUCAGCUCCUAAAUUGCAGAUUUGGUGUUUGAGUUUGUGUCGAUUUACAGGGAGAAACGGGUGGGUAAGAGAGAACUGAGAAUUUACUGACUUCAGACAUGAAGAUCUCCGUAAGACAAAUGCUUGUCACCCUCAUACAUCUUCCCAAUCAGUUGGGAAACAAGACUUAAUCAGUUGAGACGGUCUGAGCAAAUAGGGUUAUCUUGCAGCUCUCUCUAAGAGUGGCCAGAUUAAUACUUAAUUCUGUCGAACAAGAAGUGAAGCCUGGAGAAGGCAGCCUGCCUCGGAGAAGGGCUGCCGUCAGCGCCACAAAGGGGACGAUGAAACGCGAGCGGUCAGGUUCACUUUUGUUUAAAAUCAAUUUCAUUUGCUCUAUCACAACCUGGUUGUGUUUGUAUUUUCAGUAAUGGCUGGGAAUAAUUAAUUCUCCUUCAUUUAACAGAUUCCUUGCUCUCUCAUCACUUGAAAGAAACCCCCAAAUUAUGUUAAAAAAUGACUUUCACAACAAAUUAACUAGAGAUUUAAAACCAGUUGUCGGUGUCCCUUUAAGUCAAAUCCUCUUUCUGCUUAUAGCACAGAUGCAUGAAAGAGGAGGAUGCUGUUCCUGAGCAAGCGUGGAGGAAGAUUGAGUUGUGCGUGGGAGGACAGAACAGGAGAACACUCCAGUUACUUGGGCCACUCCUCCAGCAAAUUUAAUAAGUAUUGUUAGAAAGUACUUUGCAAGGAAAAAUAAAGUUAAUCUCCUAAGCGUAGUUGAAUGAUG